UACAGAGGGUGCAAGCGUUGUUCGGAAUUAUUGGGCGUAAAGCGCGUGUAGGCGGCUUUGCAAGUCGGGUGUGAAAGCCCUCAGCUCAACUGAGGAAGUGCGCCCGAAACUGCAGGGCUUGAGUACCGGAGAGGAUGGCGGAAUUCCCCAAGUAGAGGUGAAAUUCGUAGAUAUGGGGAGGAACACCGGUGGCGAAGGCGGCCAUCUGGACGGAUACUGACGCUGAGACGCGAAAGCGUGGGUAGCAAACAGG
rnacentral:rRNA from 1 species